rnacentral:rRNA from 1 species
UGGGGGGGGUUUAAAUUUCUCCGGGGGGUCCGAGAAUAACCCCCGGGGCUUUUAUUACUUUUUGUUGUGAGGUAAAGGGUUUCCCCCAGGGGGCCCCGCGGGUUACCCCGCUCUGGAAGAGGGACCCGGCCCCCCCUGGGGAAUUGGGACACAGGCCCCAGACUUCCUUACGGAAGCCAACCAGUGGGGAAUUUUGCCCCAAUUGGGGCCAAGCCUUGAUGCAAGCGACCCCCGCCUGAGGGGAUGACAGCCCUUCGGGGUUGUAAACCUUUUUUCAGCAGGGAAGAAGCGCCAAGUGACGGUACCUGCAGAAGAAGCGCCGGGCUAACUACGUGCCAGCAGCCGCGGUAAGACGUAGGGCGCGAGCGUUGUCCGGAUUUAUUGGGCGUAAAGAGCUCGUAGGCGGCUUGUCGCGUCGACUGUGAAAACCCGCGGCUCAACCGCGGGCCUGCAGCCGAUACGGGCAGGCUAGAGUUCGGUAGGGGAGACUGGAAUUCCUGGUGUAGCGGUGAAAUGCGCAGAUAUCAGGAGGAACACCGGUGGCGAAGGCGGGUCUCUGGGCCGAUACUGACGCUGAGGAGCGAAAGCGUGGGGAGCGAACAGGAUUAGAUACCCUGGUAGUCCACGCUGUAAACGUUGGGCGCUAGGUGUGGGGGGCCUCUCCGGUUCUCUGUGCCGCAGCUAACGCAUUAAGCGCCCCGCCUGGGGAGUACGGCCGCAAGGCUAAAACUCAAAGGAAUUGACGGGGGCCCGCACAAGCGGCGGAGCAUGCGGAUUAAUUCGAUGCAACGCGAAGAACCUUACCUGGGCUUGACAUGCACGUGAAACCCUGGUGAAAGCCAGGGCCCCCUUCGGGGCACGUGCACAGGUGCUGCAUGGCUGUCGUCAGCUCGUGUCGUGAGAUGUUGGGUUAAGUCCCGCAACGAGCGCAACCCUCGUUCGAUGUUGCCAGCGCGUUAUGGCGGGGACUCAUCGAAGACUGCCGGGGUCAACUCGGAGGAAGGUGGGGAUGACGUCAAGUCAUCAUGCCCCUUAUGUCCAGGGCUUCACGCAUGCUACAAUGGCCGGUACAAAGGGCUGCGAUACCGUGAGGUGGAGCGAAUCCCAAAAAGCCGGUCUCAGUUCGGAUCGGGGUCUGCAACUCGACCCCGUGAAGUCGGAGUCGCUAGUAAUCGCAGAUCAGCAACGCUGCGGUGAAUACGUUCCCGGGCCUUGUACACACCGCUCGUCACGUCACGAAAGUCGGCAACACCCGAAGCCGGUGGCCCAACCCCUUGUGGGAGGGAGCUGUCGAAGGUGGGGCUGGCGAUUGGGACGAAGUCGUAACAAGGUAGCCGUCGAAUAGCAUUCCCGCGCACGCCACGGCCACGGGGACCUGCCGACGUGGGGCCUCAAGUCGCUCCCCUAGUGAGUCGAUAUACGAAUGCAGCUGACCUUGCC